GGGUGGAGGGGCUGCGCAUGCGCACAGAGGUGGAGGGACCGGCGGGGAAGGAUAUUCACUUUUGAAAGUGUGCUGCUGAAGUGGAGAUGGACAUGGAGACAUGUGAGGUUUGCCCGCCGGGAGAAUGUGGAUCGCCUGCACAAGGUCAGGGUCCUUCAGCUCCCCAGAAGCAGAGCCGGUACCAGUGUUCAGUGUGUGGAAAGGGCUUUAAUUACCCAUCGCACUUGGAGGUCCAUUUCCGUGUUCACACUGGGGAGAGGCCAUUUGAAUGCUCCGUGUGUCAAAAAGGAUUUUUCAAAAUUGCUUACCUAACACGACACCAGCGCAUUCAUACGGGAGAGAAGCCGUUUCAGUGCAGUGUGUGUGAGAAGCGAUUUUAUAGAUCCUUUGAACUAACAAGGCAUCAGCAAACUCACGGUGGAGAGAAACCGUUUGAAUGCCACGUGUGUCAAAAGCGAUUUUACACAUCUGGUAACAUGAUGCAGCAUCUGAGAGUUCACACUGGAGAGAAACCCUUUGAAUGUACCCUGUGUAAAAUGCGAUUUUCCAGAUCCAGCAACUUGAUUGAGCAUCUGCGAACUCAUACUACCGAGAAACCCUUUGAAUGUGCCUUGUGCAAGAAAUUGUUUAGAAAUUCCGGUGGACUGGCAAAGCACCAGUAUUUACAUAGUGGCUUGAAACCAUUUCAGUGUCAGGUGUGUGGAAAGGGUUUUGUGCAGCAGACUCAUUUGAUAAAGCAUCAAAGUACUCACAUUCAAGAAAAAAUCUGAAACUUAUAGUGCACAAGAAGGAUCUUCAGUGUGUGAACCCAAACUAUACAUUAAUGUACAUGUUCUAACACACAGAUGCAAACAGAAAAACAGACUGACUCACGUGCAUGCAGACACAGGUGGACAUGGACACAUGCAUUGAAACACACAUCUGUACACAGAUAAACACUCCUAGACACACACACACACAGCGACAAACACAAACGUAUGCAUACUUAUACGUGCAAACGCAUGCAGAUACCAUUGCGUGCACAUACGCACGCACACACACAAUAUCUUAAACACCUGAAAACAUGGGGGAGUUUCAUUUGGGUGGGAAGUAGAAUCAUGGAAAGAUAAAACACUGAAGACCAUUCGGCCCUUCCUGUCUCUGCCAACUCUUUGGUAGAGCUAUCCAUUUGGUGUCAUUCUACAAUGCCAUGCAGUCUUUUCCCCAGUGCUUUGUGCUUCUUUGCCUGAGACUGACAUUAACAGUUAAUAUCUGCUUUCAUUUUUGAUCUGAAUUUUAGGAUUUUAAAGGUGCUCAAUUCAACCUGCCCAGCAGAGUCUGGGAUUAUAUGCUUGAGAUAUGGGCAUCACUGCCAAGGCCAUCAUUUGUUGCCCAUCCCUAGCUGCACUGGGAAGGAAGUGUCGGGUUGCCUUGUUGAACUGUUGUGUUUUGAUGAGAGUCUUGUUAGACCACUUAAGAGGGGAGUUGAGGUUAAAUCACAUUGCUGGACAACUGAAGUCAAAUAUUGGGCCAGACCAAAUAAAGAUGACAGGUUUCCUUCCUGAAAGGAUAGUAAUGAACCAGUUAGGUUUUUGAAAGACAAUCCAACAGCUAUAUGCUCUAAUUUAUUGACACCAGUUUUUUUUUUAUAUAAAGGUGCCACCCAUGGCACAGUUAGUGUUAUUCUUGCCUCUGAGUCAAAAAGUUCUUCAUUCAAGUCCAGCUCCAGUCCAGAGUACAAAAUCUCAGCUGAUACUCCUUUUGCAGAACUGGGGGAGUAGUGUAUUGUCAGAGGUGCCAGCUGAGAUGUUAAACCAAGACAGUAUCUCCCUGCUCAGUUGAUGCAAUAGAUUCCGCAGCAUUAUUUGAAGAAGAGCAGGGCAGUUAUCUCUGGUGUCCUGGCCAACAUUUAUCCCUCAGCCGACGUCACAAGACCAGAGUAUCUGGUCAUAAUCACAUUGCUGUUUGUGGGAGCUUUCUGUGUUCAAAUUGGCUGUUGCUUUUCCUACAUUGCAACACUUCCAGAAGCACUUCAUUGGUUGUAAAGGCAAAUUUUGGGACAUCUACAAGUCAUGAGAGGCAAAUUCUUUCUUUACUUUGCAGAUUCUGUUUGAACGGAAUUGAAGUUCUCAGACUGCCAUUGUGAGGUGGUUUGAACACAAGUUAGUCCAGUAACAUUUCCCAUAAUGAACUGUGAAGAGGUAUGUUGUGUAAGCAAAAAAAGGGAAUAUCCACAGUUUGUUUCUGUCUGUCAUGUUUCAGGUGCACGGCAAGUUUCUAAAGUUCCUUAUUUUUUAAAACAAACUUUGAAAUCAGAAAGCAAACCUGUGCAACGAUUGGAGAGUUCAGCAGUGGCUGGAAAAUAGAUAUUGGCUGUAACUUCAGAUUAACUUUAGCAACCAAAGCGUAAUAAAGAGAAAGAAAAUCUGAAAAUUCACCUUUAGUUGUUAUUUGUUUAAAAAAAAAUGGUGAAACUUCAAUUAAUGACACCCCAUAUUUAUUUAACCAUAAUUAAACUUUGUAAAGUGCAUGCCCAUCUGAACAACCAGUAACAUAAUCCAAAUUAUCUAGCCUAGCUUGCUUACUGUUGAAAGACUUUUUGAGCAUGUUCUCUAUAAUAAAGUGGUUACCUAAA